UACGGGGGGGGCAAGCGUUGUUCGGAAUUACUGGGCGUAAAGGGCUCGUAGGCGGCCAACUAAGUCGGAUGUGAAAUCCCCAGGCUCAACUUGGGAACUGCAUCCGAUACUGGAUGGCUUGAAUUCGGGAGAGGGAUGCAGAAUUCCUGGUGUAGCGGUGGAAUGCGCAGAUAUCAGGAGGAACACCGAUGGCGAAGGCAGGUCUCUGGGCCGAUACUGACGCUGAGGAGCGAAAGCGUGGGGAGCGAACAGG
rnacentral:rRNA from 1 species